GACGUAGGAUGCAAGCGUUGUCCGGAUUUAUUGGGCGUAAAGAGUUCGUAGGUGGUUCGUUAAGUCUGAUGUUAAAUAUCGGGGCUCAACCUCGGGAGUGCAUUGGAUACUGGCGGACUUGAGUGUGGUAGAGGCAAUCGGAAUUCCAGGUGUAGCGGUGAAAUGCGUAGAUAUCUGGAGGAACACCGGUGGCGAAGGCGGCAUCCUGGACCAAUAUUGACGCUGAGGAGCGAAAGCCAGGGGAGCAAACGGG
rnacentral:rRNA from 1 species